rnacentral:rRNA from 1 species
GAACUGAAGAGUUUGAUCAUGGCUCAGAUUGAACGCUGGCGGCAGGCCUAACACAUGCAAGUCGAGCGGAUGAAGGGAGCUUGCUCCUGGAUUCAGCGGCGGACGGGUGAGUAAUGCCUAGGAAUCUGCCUGGUAGUGGGGGAUAACGUCCGGAAACGGGCGCUAAUACCGCAUACGUCCUGAGGGAGAAAGUGGGGGAUCUUCGGACCUCACGCUAUCAGAUGAGCCUAGGUCGGAUUAGCUAGUUGGUGGGGUAAAGGCCUACCAAGGCGACGAUCCGUAACUGGUCUGAGAGGAUGAUCAGUCACACUGGAACUGAGACACGGUCCAGACUCCUACGGGAGGCAGCAGUGGGGAAUAUUGGACAAUGGGCGAAAGCCUGAUCCAGCCAUGCCGCGUGUGUGAAGAAGGUCUUCGGAUUGUAAAGCACUUUAAGUUGGGAGGAAGGGCAGUAAGUUAAUACCUUGCUGUUUUGACGUUACCAACAGAAUAAGCACCGGCUAACUUCGUGCCAGCAGCCGCGGUAAUACGAAGGGUGCAAGCGUUAAUCGGAAUUACUGGGCGUAAAGCGCGCGUAGGUGGUUCAGCAAGUUGGAUGUGAAAUCCCCGGGCUCAACCUGGGAACUGCAUCCAAAACUACUGAGCUAGAGUACGGUAGAGGGUGGUGGAAUUUCCUGUGUAGCGGUGAAAUGCGUAGAUAUAGGAAGGAACACCAGUGGCGAAGGCGACCACCUGGACUGAUACUGACACUGAGGUGCGAAAGCGUGGG